AUGCCAAUCCCCGUACACAGAAAAAACAAAAAUUGUUCAAUUAAAAAUUUUGAACUUCUAUUUAGAAAGGUGUUUCGAUUUUAUUGAAAUGAAAGUAAAUUUGUCCUCUGUGAAAGUUUUUCGUUUGAUUUAAAAGUACUCUUCACCUUAACUGAUAGCACAUUCAAAAGUUCAUUCUUUCAAACAGAAAACUUUUUAGUUGUCAAAUAAAACAGGACUCAGAACGCGCUCGUUCCCGGAGCAGCUGCUGUCAAAAAAGUCCCAUCUGAUGUCGGCGGAAAAGAAAACAUUAUCUUUCACCUGAAGAAGAAGCAUGAAGAACGGCUGCGUGUUGCCCUUCGACUGAUAGAGGCCAAUUGCGAUUGAAUCGUUAUCAUCGAAAACAAGAAUUCUUAAGAACAGAAAGAUCAAUGGCUAGCAGAACGUCAGAAUGCAUACACAGAAAAAAAUAAAAUUGUGCUAUCAAAAAUUAUGCACUUUCAUUCGGAAAAGUAUCAAAUUUUUGUUGAACUAAAAGUUAAAUAACUUUGAACGAAAGUUAUGCGUUUUAUUUAAAAGUAUUUUCCAUCUUUUCUGAGUGUAAUUUUAAAAGUUUUUUUUUCAAUUUGAAUCAGUUAUCUAUUUUCAUAUAAUUUGACAACAUGACGCGAGCUUCAAAAAAUCACCUGGCUGUCAAAUGAAGCUACGAUAGCUACCGCGCAAGUUUACAUUUUCAAAUUUCCGGAAAGGAACACUUGAUUUCAUUUUAGUUUUACGUAUUUUACGCCAUAUUCGGACGACAUAAGAAAUAAUAUCUAUUUAAAAGCCAGAAAGCUUCCGGUUCGUGUUUUUACAUGCAUAUGCCGCGGGCAUAUAAUGAUUCGACCUUGACAAACAAAUCAGGACAUCGUCGGAACGCCUGGUUGAAUAUCCAUACGAUCACAAGAUGCGACGGGACCGUAUACUGGAUUUCCCUGGGAUUUCCCAUGGUUUAAAUUGUUCAU